GACUAGAUAUGUUACCCUCCUAGACAAUGAAGAUGCUUUCAUGGUAUACAGCACACGAAGAUUUGUAUCAUAUAACGCCUAAAUAUGUUACACUCUUCGACAAUGAAAAUGGUUUCAUUGUAGAUAGCACAUUAGGAUGUCACAUAUACUGCCUAAAUAUGUAAGACUCCUAUACCAUGAAAGAUGCUUCCAUUGCAGAUAGCACAUUAGGAUAAGUCACAUAUACAGCCUAAAUAUGUAAGACUCCUAUACCAUGAAAGAUGCUUCCAUUGCAGAUGCACAUUAGGAUAAGUCACAU